GACAGAGGAUGCAAGCGUUAUCCGGAAUCACUGGGCGUAAAGCGUCUGUAGGUGGUCAAAUAAGUCAACUGUUAAAUCUUGAGGCUCAACCUCAAAAUCGCAGUCGAAACUAUUAGACUAGAGUAUAGUAGGGGUAAAGGGAAUUUCCAGUGGAGCGGUGAAAUGACGUAGAGAUUGGAAAGAACACCGAUGGCGAAGGCACUUUACUGGGCUAUUACUAACACUCAGAGACGAAAGCUAGGGUAGCAAAUGGG
rnacentral:rRNA from 1 species